ACUAGACCAAUGAAUACCUCUAAUACAUAUCAAUGUCAAUGAAAGAACGGGUAAAAGUAUCAAGAAGUCUCUUGUAUUAUGAAUCAGAUUGCAUUUUACCUUCUAUACUAAAAAAAAGAAGAAAUAAAUUGUAUUUUACCUUCUAUACUAAAAAAAAGAAGAAAUAAAUUGGUUAUUCCUAUUAAAAAUUCAUUCAUUUCACUGUUAAAAAUUGUCUUGAUCGACAAAAUAACCAAACAAUUACACGUGAUGUAUCAUGUGCACUUUAUGCGGAC
rnacentral:lncRNA from 1 species